AAAACUUUCCCUUGAUAUCAAACCAAAACAUGAUCUUACUACCUCCAUGCAUUGCAGGAUAGUGAACUGUACAAAAUGGAACUAAUUUUACAGAAUGUACUUUGCCAGUUUUCAACUUAUCCACAUCCUUCCACCAAACAAAACCAAGCGUUUUCUUUCCAGCCCAUCAAGAAAAAGAACGAAAAACACGGACAAAAUAUGAGCUAAGAGCACAAAAUUUGUCUAUUGCUCAAGUAAAAAAUAGUAUUGUUAUGGGAGAAAACUGUGCCCUCACUGCAAAACUUGAUGAAAUUCCAUCAGAUGUCACUUCUUGGGUGUGGACGAUGGGCUUGCUGCCUCUUUGAAUGCUGAUGGGCAGAGAUCACUUACUGUACAGAUUGCACAACGUGGUCUUAAAGGAGUACAAAUGGUCUGACCAAACCCAACCAAGAGAGGAUUGAUUGGCACCCAUUCUUCCUUUGGAAGCCAAAGUUGCAAGGACUCCCUAGUCUCCUCAGGGGUUCUCG
rnacentral:misc_RNA from 1 species